rnacentral:rRNA from 1 species
UACGAAGGGGGGCUAGCGUUGCUCGGAAUCACUGGGCGUAAAGCGCCACGUAGGCGGACUCUUAAGUCGGUGGUGAAAUCCUGGAGCUCAACUCCAGAACUGCCUUCGAUACUGAGAGUCUCGAGUCCGGGAGGGGCGAGUGGAAUUCCUGGUGUAGCGGUGAAAUGCGCAGAUAUCAGGAGGAACACCAAUGGCGAAGGCAGCUCGCUGGAACGGUACUGACGCUGAGGCGCGAAAGCGUGGGGAGCAAACAGG